GUGUAGCACAUGUGCUAAAAUUGUAAUAAUGCAGAGAAGAUUAGCAUGGCUCCCCCUAAGGGUGACACAAAAAUUAAUGUGCUUCAUGCCUGGGAGGAACACUUGUUU